UACGGGGGGGGGCAAGCGUUGUUCGGAAUUACUGGGCGUAAAGGGCUCGUAGGUGGCCAACUAAGUCAGACGUGAAAUCCCCAGGCUUAACCUGGGAACUGCGUCUGAUACUGGAUGGCUUGAAUUCGGGAGAGGGAUGCAGAAUUCCAGGUGUAGCGGUGAAAUGCGUAGAUAUCCGGAGGAACACCAGUGGCGAAGGCGACUGCCUGGGGAGUAACUGACGCUGAGGCGCGAAAGCUGGGGGAGCAAGCGGG
rnacentral:rRNA from 1 species